UUUCAUUUAACCAUUUACGGAUGAAAGAUAACCAUUUUUUGUUUUUUGCUGAAGAACUUCCAAUAUGGUUAUUUUCUAUUAUUUUUUUCCUAUGAAAUUUUAACCAUUUUGGUAGUUCUCAAAUGAAACCCACAAGAUGGUUGAAAAUUUCGCCAUUUCAUCGCCGCCAUGUUGAAAGUAAUUUGUUCUGCAGCCGGGUGCGUUCUGCAUGGAAGAAAGAAAUUCAAGCUUUUCUUCCACUUAGUAGUGAACAUGAUCCGAAGAACAUCCUCUGGUCCAAAGGAUACCGAAAUGUGGAAAGUUUGCCGGAACUGCAAAUGCAGGAUUUGCGAGCUUAUAAGCCCGUUUAGCUGUACUGGAUUCCACCUAAUGUGACUCUGGAGCUGGCUUCGGAUUAUACGACUCAGCUGGAGCAACCGAAUAUACCCAUAGCUGGUGUGAUGCAGCGGAAAAGUGAAAACAGCAGCUAGAAUAUCAAGUUCCUAUCCAUGAUCUGGAUGCCAGUUGCCAUUUAGGAAUCAUAAUCCGACGAACAUCCUUUGGUCCAGUAAGGAUGCCGAAAUCUGAGGAUCCUCAGAUAAUCGGGAGCUGAAUAUUAAUCCGACCAGGUGCUGCGCAAUUGUUCCACCAAGAUAAUUUGAUGGUAUGCGGUAAUUUUCCGUACUAUUUGGGGGGUCAGACUGCCGGAAAAACAUCAUCCGGCUGUGGAGUGUUGGAAACACCUCGCUGAACAACGGAUUAGUGCUGUUGGUGCUGAUCAUCCGCUAGGAGCUCAACAGAAUACCCUCAAAAUGUUCUACUUGGACUUCUUCCGGAAAAGCAUUUACCGGUCCCUAUCGUUCCUGGCUAUGUUUUGCGAUCCCGGAUCCUAUUUUUCCGAAUCACUAGCAGAGCCAAAGGAUCGGGACAGUGAAAGCACAGAGAAGUGAAAGUAAGUGGUUCGAUGCCGAUUCACAACAAAAAUCGUUGCAUCUUUUCUCUGUAUUUUUUUAAGAACAUCUUAAAAAUUAUUAAAUAAAUAAAAUGAUGUGAAAAACAUAAAAUUUUUUAAAUUUUAUCUUUUUUUUGCGAAA